rnacentral:rRNA from 1 species
GCACNNAACGCUGUGNGNCAUGCUUAANACAUGCAAGUCGAACGAUGAACCUCCUUCGGGAGGGGAUUAGUGGCGAACGGGUGAGUAACACGUGGGCAAUCUGCCCUUCACUCUGGGACAAGCCCUGGAAACGGGGUCUAAUACCGGAUACGACACGGGGUCGCAUGACCUCCGUGUGGAAAGCUCCGGCGGUGAAGGAUGAGCCCGCGGCCUAUCAGCUUGUUGGUGGGGUGAUGGCCUACCAAGGCGACGACGGGUAGCCGGCCUGAGAGGGCGACCGGCCACACUGGGACUGAGACACGGCCCAGACUCCUACGGGAGGCAGCAGUGGGGAAUAUUGCACAAUGGGCGAAAGCCUGAUGCAGCGACGCCGCGUGAGGGAUGACGGCCUUCGGGUUGUAAACCUCUUUCAGCAGGGAAGAAGCGAAAGUGACGGUACCUGCAGAAGAAGCGCCGGCUAACUACGUGCCAGCAGCCGCGGUAAUACGUAGGGCGCAAGCGUUGUCCGGAAUUAUUGGGCGUAAAGAGCUCGUAGGCGGCUUGUCACGUCGGAUGUGAAAGCCCGGGGCUUAACCCCGGGUCUGCAUUCGAUACGGGCAGGCUAGAGUUCGGUAGGGGAGAUCGGAAUUCCUGGUGUAGCGGUGAAAUGCGCAGAUAUCAGGAGGAACACCGGUGGCGAAGGCGGAUCUCUGGGCCGAUACUGACGCUGAGGAGCGAAAGCGUGGGGAGCGAACAGGAUUAGAUACCCUGGUAGUCCACGCCGUAAACGUUGGGGAACUAGGUGUGGGCCGACAUUUCACGUCGUCCGUGCCCCANCUAACGCAUUAAGUUCCCCGCCUGGGGAGUACGGNCNCAAGGNUAAAACUCAAAGGAAUUGACGGGGGCCCCCCCAAACAGC